ACUCCUACGGGAGGCAGCAGUGGGAAUAUUGGACAAUGGGGCAACCCUGGAUCCAGCAUGCCGCGUGCUAUGAAGAAGGCCCUCGGGCUUGGUUAAAGAUACUUUUCAGUGGUGAGGAAGGUUGCGUGGUUAAUACCCACGUAAUUUGACGUUAGCCACAGAAGAAGCACCGGCUAACUCCGUGCCAGCAGCCGCGGUAAUACGGAGGGUGCAAGCGUUAAUCGGAAUUACUGGGCGUAAAGCGCAUGCAGGCGGUUAAUUAAGCCAGAUGUGAAAGCCCCGGGCUCAACCUGGAA
rnacentral:rRNA from 1 species